rnacentral:rRNA from 1 species
ACGAACGCUGGCGGCGUGCUUAACACAUGCAAGUCGAACGGUGAAGCGCCUUCCUUUUUGGUGGGUGUGGAUGAGUGGCGAACGGGUGAGUAACACGUGAGUAACCUGCCCCCUUCUUCUGGAUAACCGCAUGAAAGUGUGGCUAAUACGGGAUAUUCUGGGCCUGUCGCAUGAUGGGUCUGGGAAAGAUAUUGUUUCGGUGGGGGAUGGGCUCGCGGCCUAUCAGCUUGUUGGUGGGGUGAUGGCCUACCAAGGCGGUGACGGGUAGCCGGCCUGAGAGGGUGGACGGUCACACUGGGACUGAGACACGGCCCAGACUCCUACGGGAGGCAGCAGUGGGGAAUAUUGCACAAUGGGCGCAAGCCUGAUGCAGCGACGCCGCGUGAGGGAUGGAGGCCUUCGGGUUGUGAACCUCUUUCGCCAGUGAAGCAGGCCUGCCUCGUUUGUGGGUGGGUUGACGGUAGCUGGAUAAGAAGCGCCGGCUAACUACGUG